UGGGAAAAAUUAGAAAUCAAAACAGAAAAAGCGAAAGGAUGCUUAUUUCUUUGGAGAGAACUAAAACACCAGAAAACUACAGUUCUGGGAAGAAGCAAGGAGAAAUCUCAGCCACUACAAUUUCAUGUGGAUUUAUUAUUUUUCUG